rnacentral:rRNA from 1 species
AUUGAACGCUGGCGGCAUGCCUUACACAUGCAAGUCGAACGGUAACAGGUUAAGCUGACGAGUGGCGAACGGGUGAGUAAUAUAUCGGAACGUGCCCAGGCGUGGGGGAUAACUGCUCGAAAGAGCAGCUAAUACCGCAUACGACCUGAGAGUGAAAGCGGGGGAUCGCAAGACCUCGCGCGAUUGGAGCGGCCGAUAGCAGAUUAGGUAGUUGGUGGGGUAAAGGCCCACCAAGCCAACGAUCUGUAGCUGGUCUGAGAGGACGACCAGCCACACUGGGACUGAGACACGGCCCAGACUCCUACGGGAGGCAGCAGUGGGGAAUUUUGGACAAUGGGCGCAAGCCUGAUCCAGCCAUGCCGCGUGCGGGAAGAAGGCCUUAGGGUUGUAAACCGCUUUUGUCAGGGAAGAAAAGGCUUCUGCUAAUACCGGAGGCUCAUGACGGUACCUGAAGAAUAAGCACCGGCUAACUACGUGCCAGCAGCCGCGGUAAAAC